CCUGGUUGAUCCUGCCAGUAGUCAUAUGCUUGUCUCAAAGAUUAAGCCAUGCAUGUCUCAGUACAGGCCUUUCUAAGGCGAAACCGCGAAUGGCUCAUUAAAUCAGUCAUGAUUCAUUAGAUUAAGCCAAAAAUUUACUUGGAUAACUGUGGUAAUUCUAGAGCUAAUACAUGCAACUGAGCUCCGACCCGGCCGUCAGAUUGGGGAAGGGCGCUUUUAUUAGAUCAAAAACUAAUCGGACCUCGGUCCGUCUCAAAUGAGUUGUGGUGACUCUGAAUAACUUUAGCCGAGCGCUACGGUCUUAGUACCGGCGCCGUAUCUUUCAAGUGUCUGCCUUAUCAGCUUUCGAUUGUAGGUUAUACGCCUACAAUGGCUGUAACGGGUAACGGGGAAUCAGGGUUCGAUUCCGGAGAGGGAGCCUGAGAAACGGCUACCACAUCUAAGGAAGGCAGCAGGCACGCAAAUUACCCACUCCCAGCUCGGGGAGGUAGUGACGAAAAAUAACGAUGCGGGACUCUUCCGAGGCCUCGCAAUCGGAAUGAGUUCACUUUAAAUCCUUGGACGAGGAUCCACUAGAGGGCAAGUCUGGUGCCAGCAGCCGCGGUAAUUCCAGCUCUAGUAGCGUAUAUUAAAGUUGCUGCGGUUAAAAAGCUCGUAGUUGGAUCUCUGAUUUGGACCGGCGGCCCACUCAAGGAUAGCCCUCGCUGAAAAUGGGAGGCGCUUUACGUUCGCUUCGGCGCCCCGGACGGGCGCGGCCGCCCUCAUCGAGGUAGUGGUCGCGUUUCGCACGGGGAUCAAACGCCGGUGCGACGUGGGCUCUCUUACAGGCGGGUAAGCGAUCCCGGUGGUUCACUGUCCGGCUCCGGAUUGAAAAUGCCGUCGGCUCGCACGGGGUGCUCUUCACCGAGUGUCCCGCGUGGCCGACAAGUUCACUUUGAAAAAAUUAGAGUGCUCAAAGCAGGCAACAACUCACGCCUGAAUGGUGGUGCAUGGAAUGAUGGAACAGGACCUCGGUUCUGCCCUUUUAAUUGGUUUUCUGAACCCGAGGUAAUGAUUAACGGGAACAGACGGGGGCAUUAGUAUUGCGACGCUAGAGGUGAAAUUCUUGGACCGUCGCAAGACUAACUACUGCGAAAGCAUUUGCCAAGAAUGUUUUCAUUAAUCAAGAACGAAAGUUAGAGGAUCGAAGGCGAUCAGAUACCGCCCUAGUUCUAACCAUAAACGAUGCUAACCGACGGGUGCUGGAGCUACGUCGGUAAAAUAGGAGGCAGACAGAACAUCAACUAUCCUCAAUGGUGCAUCGACCAGUACGGCUCUGUCUUACACGAAAUGUUGCAUGCUCUUGGAUUCUUCCACGAACAAUCCACUUGGAAUAGAGACUCUUACGUCAUAAUAAACUAUCAAAACAUUGAGGCCGGGGCCGAAAACAACUUCGCCGUGUACGACCAAACUCAAGUUACAGAUUUCGGUGAGCCAUACGACUACAUGUCAGUAAUGCACUACUCCCAAAGAGCAUUCUCCAGCAACGGAGGACUGACAAUUGUUACAAUAGAUCCAGCCUACCAAAACCUGAUUGGUCAACGUACUGGUCUAAGUACAAUUGAUUUGAACAAACUGAAGGCGAUGUACUCUUGUCCUUAAGUCACUCAAAAGCGAAGCAGUCUUCACAAGAGUGAUGCCUUGGUUUAUGCAGACGUGCCCUAC
rnacentral:rRNA from 1 species